CGGACGGGUGAGUAACGCGUGGGUAACCUGCCUCACACUGGGGGAUAACAGUUAGAAAUAGCUGCUAAUACCGCAUAAGCGCACAGUUCCGCAUGGAACGGUGUGAAAAACUCCGGUGGUAUGAGAUGGACCCGCGUUGGAUUAGCUAGUUGGCAGGGUAACGGCCUACCAAGGCGACGAUCCAUAGCCGGCCUGAGAGGGUGGACGGCCACAUUGGGACUGAGACACGGCCCAG
rnacentral:rRNA from 1 species